rnacentral:rRNA from 1 species
UACGAAGGGGGCUAGCGUUGUUCGGAAUUACUGGGCGUAAAGCGCGUGUAGGCGGGUCUUUAAGUCAGGGGUGAAAUGCCAAGGCUCAACCUUGGAACUGCCUUUGAUACUGGAGAUCUUGAGUCCGGGAGAGGUGAGUGGAAUUGCGAGUGUAGAGGUGAAAUUCGUAGAUAUUCGCAAGAACACCAGUGGCGAAGGCGGGUCGUCUGGACAGUUCCGUGACACUGAGGCACGAAGGCCAGGGGAGCAACGGG